CCCACGGGUGGCAGCAGUGGGGAAUAUUGGACAAUGGGGGGAACCCUGAUCCAGCCAUGCCGCGUGUGUGAAGAAGGCCCUCGGGUUGUAAAGCACUUUCAGUGAGGAAGAACGCCUGGUGGUUAAUACCCAUCAGGAAAGACAUCACUCACAGAAGAAGCACCGGCUAACUCCGUGCCAGCAGCCGCGGUAAUACGGAGGGUGCGAGCGUUAAUCGGAAUUACUGGGCGUAAAGCGCGCGUAGGUGGCUUGAUAAGCCGGUUGUGAAAGCCCCGGGCUCAACCUGGGAACGGCAUCCGGAACUGUCAAGCUAGUGUGCAGGAGAGGAAGGUAGAAUUCCCGGUGUAGCGGUGAAAUGCGUAGAGAUCGGGAGGAAUACCAGUGGCGAAGGCGGCCUUCUGGACUGACACUGACACUGAGGUGCGAAAGCGUGGGUAGCAAACAGGAUUAGAUACCCGAGUAGUC
rnacentral:rRNA from 1 species